GCCAUCAUAGCUCAGUAGGUAGAGCACGUCCUUGGUAAGGACGAGGUCACCGGUUCGAGCCCGGUUGAUGGCU
rfam:Desulfotomaculum sp. 46_296 MPI_scaffold_114, whole genome shotgun sequence.